rnacentral:rRNA from 1 species
UACGAGGGGGGCUAGUGUUGUUCGGAAUCACUGGGCGUAAAGGGAGCGUAGGCGGGCGUUUAAGUUAGGUGUUUAAUCCCGGGGCCCAACCCCGGACCGGCACCUAAAACUGGACGUCUUGAAUAGUGGAGAGGUCGGUGGAAUUGGAGGUGUAGCGGUGGAAUGCGUAGAGAUCUCCAAGAACACCCGUUGCGAAGGCGGCCGACUGGACACAUAUUGACGCUGAGGCUCGAAAGCGUGGGGAUCAAACAGG